rfam:Dipodomys ordii contig_29693, whole genome shotgun sequence.
GGUGGCUCAGUGGUAGAGCACUUGCCUUGCAUGCAAGAGGCCCUGGGUUCCAUUCCUCAGCACCA